UACGUAGGGUGCAAGCGUUGUCCGGAAUUAUUGGGCGUAAAGAGCGCGUAGGCGGUCUGUCGCGUCUGCUGUGAAAUCUCAGGGCUUAACCCUGAGCUUGCAGUGGGUACGGGCAGACUAGAGUGCGGUAGGGGAGACUGGAAUUCCUGGUGUAGCGGUGAAAUGCGCAGAUAUCAGGAGGAACACCGGUGGCGAAGGCGGGUCUCUGGGCCGUAACUGACGCUGAGGAGCGAAAGCAUGGGGAGCGAACAGG
rnacentral:rRNA from 1 species